CUUGGCCAGAGCCCUGGGGGGGCCAGGUGCUGUCUGCCUCACUGCGUUGCCUGCUGGAAGAAAACGGGAGUUUGAGGAAGGAGGACAUGCAUGGUGUUCUCUUUGUUUUUAGGCUGAGCUGCUCAAAUUCAGGUUGUUGUUUGCAGAGGGUUUCAGUACUCUUGACAACAAAGACGCUGUUUCAGAAGUAUGGGGAGCUUCUGGGCUGGAGUGUGUGCAGGUAUAGUCUGUGUGACUGGUCUGAGAUGGGCAAAUCAAGCUAUCCAUAGUACUGCUGGUCUGGGGGAGAAUUCAGAGCCGCUGCUGGGGUCACUGGAGGGAUGCCCAGAGUAAAAGACCUCCGAAUCUGCUCUCAACCAAGGGGAAGUGAAUUGGUCUCCUUGUUCCUGUGGCAGCCAUGGACCCCUAUGAUUGGGUGGUCCUCUAGAGGCACUGACACUGAGCCUGAAGGGAAGCUCCCAUCUCUGAUCCAUGAGUGCCUCCAGCCUGGCAGGACCUGGCUCUUCUGGUAGGUGGCUUUAUGGUAUUCUUAUUAAGUUACUAGACGAAAUGUGUUGCAUUACUAUGUUUCAAGUUCAUUUUUCUACACAGAAUCCCACCAAAAGUAGGAGUGGAGGGCAAGAAAGCCCACUAAAGUACUGAUAUGGUCUGGUAUAGACAAGAAACACCAUAAUUUCAUAGGCAUCGCUGGUGCAAUGCUAAUAGAGUAAGAGUAGAUCCCAAUAAUUAGAAAAUCUUCUCUUGUUGGAUAUUUUGUGAAAGUGCUUCUGUGCCUGUAGUUUGGUGGUUGUCACAGCACAUCUCAAUAAGUUUGUUCAGUCUUUAAGGGUAAAGCCAUCACCACUGAAUAAUCCCCUCCUUUAGGCACAAGGCUUCGUGAAAAAUAUGAUUCCUAGUGAUGCCUCCUAAGACAUGUAAUUAAAGUGGUGAUCUCUCAGUGUCCACUUUGCCAGACAAUGUCAAUUUUGUAACAGUUAUGAUACCUUAUGACUCUGCUAUGAGUCAUUUGGAACAGGCCUUUAUUAGAAGACCCUCAAAAAGUUUUAGUUCUGACUAUGAUGCAGAUUAGCAGCAGUUCUUAGAAGCACUGGGAGCCUGGGACUGAGGGCACAGUUCUGGGAGUCCUCUUUCCACGUGAAACAACUCUGAAAAUAAUGAAUGAGGGAAGAGAGAAGAAGAGAAGCCAGAGAUGAGCAGAGCAGCUUUGGGUGUACUUCAAACUCUUGUUAUUCAUGUUUUCUCUCACUUUGGAGAUUGUUUACCCUGAGAAUUCAGUGCUGUUACCAGCUUCUUUUAUCAGGACUUCAGCAAUACAGGCUGCUGGAAGAGCCAUUAAACCCAAGUUGUUAUUCUCCUUGCCUUUCAGCACAAAGUGCUGCCCGUAGCAAUGGCAAUAAUCCAGAAGAAAUGUACUCUUAAAGGGAAAGCAGGAAAGUCUCAGGAUAACAUGUGAGACUGGGUGGGUGGGCCCUGUGCUACUGAUGGGUGGCACUGGGGACUGUGCAUGUUCUGCAAGCAUCACUGAGAAAAGUGCUUGAGGAGUUGGGAUCCAUAAGAGAGCAGGACUGAGCA
ensembl:lncRNA